rnacentral:rRNA from 1 species
UGGGGAAUAUUGCACAAUGGGCGCAAGCCUGAUGCAGCCAUGCCGCGUGUAUGAAGAAGGCCUUCGGGUUGUAAAGUACUUUCAGCGGGGAGGAAGGCGAUAAGGUUAAUAACCUUGUCGAUUGACGUUACCCGCAGAAGAAGCACCGGCUAACUCCGUGCCAGCAGCCGCGGUAAUACGGAGGGUGCAAGCGUUAAUCGGAAUUACUGGGCGUAAAGCGCACGCAGGCGGUCUGUCAAGUCGGAUGUGAAAUCCCCGGGCUCAACCUGGGAACUGCAUGCGAAACUGGCAGGCUAGAGUCUUGUAGAGGGGGGUAGAAUUCCAGGUGUAGCGGUGAAAUGCGUAGAGAUCUGGAGGAAUACCGGUGGCGAAGGCGG